AGUUCGGAUCGCAGGCUGCAACCCGCCUGCGUGAAGUCGGAAUCGCUAGUAAUCGCGGAUCAGCAUGCCGCGGUGAAUACGUUCCCGGGCCUUGUACACACCGCCCGUCACACCAUGAGAGUCGGGAACACCCGAAGCCCGUAGCCUAACAGCAAUGAGGGCGCGGUCGAAGGUGGGUUCGAUAAUUGGGGUGAAGUCGUAACAAGGUACC
rnacentral:rRNA from 1 species